UGCACCUGAUCCACAAACUCUCCCUAAGAUAAUCAAGGGAGAUUUUACCUCAGUCUCCCUGGUUUUUCCUUCUCCAGUGCGUCUAUUGGUCAUUAGUUGCUGGACUCUCCAAGGUUAAUCAAGGCAGAAUGGCAAUCAUAUUCUCUGUGCACAUUAAGGCUGCUCCCGCGUAGGUACACGCGCGCAUGCAUAUCGAGACCUGCGAAAUACCGGACAUUUGGCUAGCGAGAGCCCCACGAUACCUGCAGGGCUAGUAUCACAGUGCAGUGAGCUAGAGCAACGGAGAUCAUGAGGCCUGACCCGCCUGAGCCCGGGGUGGCUGCUGUAAACGAACUGGGGUACUGGGUAGAUCCACUCACGAUACGUGCGAGAAGCAGUGCAGUAGACGGCAAUAUCUCAGCCAUCACACAGGAUAUAACUCUUCUUUGGAGCCAUAUGACAGACGUAUACAGCUGAAAUGGAAUUUCCCUUCAACCGUACAAUAUUUCAGGGCUUAUAUUUCAGGAAUCGGUGUUCGCCCAACGUAGCAGUUGCAGAAAAAGGACAACAACAAGUGGCACUAUUCAUGUAUUCCUCCAAAGUGCUCAUGCCAAUCAUGCCAUAGCUGAACUUUCCUGAAAGACUGAGUCAAUGAAAACUCUAAGACUUCAACAUAUGUGCAGCAUUUCAACCGAGAGUCAACACCCUCCAUUGUAGUGUUCGGCAGGCUUUUCAAUUGGAGUUUGGGCUGAUUUCAAUCGUAAUAAUAAUAAUAAUAAUAUUCAGUUCCUGUAUAGCGCAUGAUAUGUUAUGAAAUAACACCUCUAUGCGCUUCCAAAGAGCUUUGGAAAUGAUUACCCUUUAGCUCCGGCAGCCGUUAUCAGGAAUAAUCCUGCCAGGUACCCAUUUACCUCACCUGG
rnacentral:lncRNA from 1 species